UCCAGACUCCUACGGGAGGCAGCAGUGGGGGAUAUUGCACAAUGGGGGGAACCCUGAUGCAGCGACGCCGCGUGGGUGAAGAAGUAUUUCGGUAUGUAAAGCCCUAUCGGCAGGGAAGAAAUUGGACGGUACCUGACUAAGAAGCCCCGGCUAACUACGUGCCAGCAGCCGCGGUGAUACGUAGGGGGCAAGCGUUAUCCGGAUUCACUGGGUGUAAAGGGAGCGUAGACGGCCAUGCAAGCCUGGAGUGAAAGCCCGGGGCCCAACCCCGGGACUGCUCUGGGAACUGUGCGGCUGGAGUGCGGGAGGGGCAGGCGGAAUUCCUGGUGUAGCGGUGAAAUGCGUAGAUAUCAGGAGGAACACCGGCGGCGAAGGCGGCCUGCUGGACCGCGACUGACGUUGAGGCUCGAAAGCGUGGGGAGCAAACAGGAUUAGAUACCCCUGUA
rnacentral:rRNA from 1 species